UCAACCUUUUUUUACAUCAAAAAUAUGGGUUCAUUUCAACAAAAUUGCCCAAAAAUAACAUGGAUGCAUGGGUGUACGUUGUAUGGAAAGCCAUUCAACAUUCUUCGCAGGUAAAAUGAAUGAUUACUUUCAU